rnacentral:rRNA from 1 species
AUACGGAGGAUGCAAGCGUUAUCCGGAUUUAUUGGGUUUAAAGGGUGCGUAGGCGGACAGUCAAGCAGGGGGUGAAAUGCCGGCGCUCAACGCCGGAGCUGCCUUCUGAACUGGCUGUCUGGAGUGGCAGUGCCGUUGGAGGAAUGAGUGGUGUAGCGGUGAAAUGCUUAGAUAUCACUCAGAACACCGAUUGCGAAGGCAUCUGACGAACUGCCCACUGACGCUGAGGCACGAAAGCGUGGGGAUCAAACAGGAUUAGAUACCCUGGUAGUCCACGCAGUAAACGAUGAUGACUAACUGCCGGCCCGUCGCGGGUCGGUGGCCGAGCGAAAGCGAUAAGUCAUCCACCUGGGGAGUACGACCGCAAGGUUGAAACUCAAAGGAAUUGACGGGG